UAGCUCAGUGGUAGAGCAGCGGCCUUUUAAGCCGAAGGUCGUGGGUUCGAUCCCC
rnacentral:tRNA from 1 species